rnacentral:rRNA from 1 species
GGGGAAUCUUCCGCAAUGGGCGAAAGCCUGACGGAGCAACGCCGCGUGAGUGAAGAAGGUCUUCGGAUCGUAAAGCUCUGUUGUCGGGGACGAAUGUUGAGACCAAGAACAUAGGUUUCAAAUGACGGUACCUGACGAGGAAGCCACGGCUAACUACGUGCCAGCAGCCGCGGUAAUACGUAGGUGGCGAGCGUUGUCCGGAAUUAUUGGGCGUAAAGGGAGCGCAGGCGGGAAGGUAAGUCUAUCUUAAAAGUGCGGGGCUCAACCCCGUGAGGGGAUAGAAACUAUUUUUCUUGAGUGCAGGAGAGGAAAGCGGAAUUCCUAGUGUAGCGGUGAAAUGCGUAGAUAUUAGGAGGAACACCAGUGGCGAAGGCGGCUUUCUGGACUGUAACUGACGCUGAGGCUCGAAAGCCAGGGGAGCGAAC